GCCGUUUUGAGUAAGCCUUGACAUAUGAGAUAAUCUUGAAAUAACCACAUAAAACAAUUUUUUAAACUUCAUUUACGAAAUUAAUUUGAAAAUAUCACAGUGAAUCAUCCAGAUAACCGAUGGAAAUGGAUGCUUAUUUAUACUUGGUGAUUUGAUGAAAGACGAAAGAUGAAAAACAACGACUGACCUAGAUCUUUAAAAAGGGGAACUGCAAGCUAAAUACAACCAGGACUCAUAUUUAGAUGUAAAAACAAAAAAAUACGCUUGCUGUAGGUGUUUUCGCGCGGUUAUUAUUCGUUUUUGAGAAAUUCGACGUUUCGCCGCCAUCUUGAAUGUUUUGCUUGUCAGCGCAUAAACUGUCAGCGGUCGCUUUUGUGACGUACUGUAUAAACAAGAUGGCGUGGUCUAUGUGGCAGCCAUUUGUUUUCGUCUCAUUCCACGUUGAAUCAUUCAAGCUCAAAACUAUGCAAGAGCAAGCAUAUCACAACCAAACCACAAUGGAUCUGAGGAAUCGUUGUACAUGUGCGUAAAAACUUUGUCGUGCUGCUAAUGAAGUUAUUAGCCUUAAAAUGGGUAAAAUAAGCUUUUACUUGAGAAUGAAUCAGAAGAUUCAGAUGACUGAGUUAUUGGGGUUUGUGGCACAAGGUUGCUUCCAGUCUCUUGGUCAUCAGCGUUAUCCUCAUCUUCGCUGUCCAAGAAUUCCCGGUCGCUGAGGAAGUCAUUUUGCGCGAGUUUGGCAAAGUGUGCGGGACCAAACUCUUGCAGCAGAACCAGUAAACAGAGAAACAACGCUCUUCGGGACGACGCUCGUGCCAUUCUUGGGCAAUCAUAUAUCAAUAAAUUACUGAAAUUUCUUAGUUAUUUCAUUCCCUUUUAUUGUCACAUGAUUUAGAUAUAGGAGAGGGAGGGCUGGUUCAAUAACAUUUCUGUUCUUGUGAUUUCCUUGUUGUUGGCUUUUGAGUGAGCCUUGCAUGGUGACAAUCCAUGCAGCCACACCUUAUCAAUGAAAGUUUCUUGUGUGUUUUGUUUUGGUUCUGGGAGGAUUUUAGUAAAAAAAUAUCUAGGGAUUAAACAGAUUUUGAAAUAAGCGCCUCCCCCUUAUAAGCCUGGCAGGGACAUGAAAAAAUAAAUUACUUAAAACUUGAUAUCUCAGCAGUUUUCCUAGUAAUUUCCUACUACCCCGUCAUGUUUUAAUAGUCCGUCCCUCAAUCAAAUUGAAUCUUUUUCUGUCAGUUAACUUUCUUGUGUUUUUCUUAUAUACUACAUGCCUUUUCUAUUGUCCUUCAUUAUUUUCAAUUGACCCGCUAUAAUUAUUUGACUCUCCCGUAAAAUGCAAUUAAUUUCGAUUUCCCUUGGAAGUUAAAAUAACGUUUUACUUUCUUGUGUUUUGUUUUGGUUCUGGGAGGAUUUUAGUAAAAAAAUAUCUAGAGAUUAAACAGAUUUUGAAAUAAGCGCCUCCCCCUUAUAAGCCUGGCAGGGACAUUAAAAAAUAAAUUACUUAAAACUUGAUAUCUCAGCAGUUUUCCUAGUAAUUUCCUACUACUCGGUAUCUUUAUUCGGAUAAGGGACGAAGCACAUAAUGGCAAUUUUUUUUGCUAUAUUUUUUCCCCGACGUUGUUGUUGUUGUUUUUUGGAGGGAAUCAGCAACUCCCCCGUCAUGUUUUAAUAGUCUGUCCCUCAAUCAAAUUGAAUCUUCUUCUGUCAGUUAACUUUCUCGUGUUUACAUAUAUACUACAUGCCUCUUCUAUUGUCCUUCAUUAUUUUCAAUUGACCCGCUAUAAUUAUUUAGGUCUCCCGUAAAAUGCAAUUAAUUUCGAUUUCCUUUGGAAGUUAAAAUAACGUGACCUUUUUUUUUUUUACAGAUUGCGGCCUUACCUCUCCUUACAGCUGCUCUUUGUCUUGGGAGUGUGGUCUGGUGACAGACAGUCUUCGUAUAUGUUUAAAUAUUUGCGUAUGAACAGGUGGCUCAACCCGUAACCUUCUUGCAUGUGAUGAUUCUGUUUGACCACUUGAGGCGUGCCCCUAUUUGCCUUCAUAGGGACCUCACGAUUGCUUUACAGACGAAUUUACGACGGGGGAGGAUAGACUUGGCCGGAAAGCGAGCUUUUUGGGGUCGCACAGCAGCGGCCGAGCAAGCGAC